UACAGAGGUCUCAAGCGUUUGUUCGGAUUCAUUGGGCGUAAAGGGUGUGUAGGUGGCGCCGUAAGUCGGGUGUGAAAUUUCGGAGACUUAACUCCGAAACUGCAUUCGAUACUGCGGUGCUUGAGGACUGGAGAGGAGACUGGAAUUCAUGGUGUAGCAGUGAAAUGCGUAGAGAUCAUGAGGAAGACCAGUGGCGAAGGCGGGUCUCUGGACAGUUCCUGACACUGAGACGAAGGCC
rnacentral:rRNA from 1 species